CCUACGGGAGGCAGCAGUAGGGAAUAUUGCUCAAUGGGGGAAACCCUGACGCAGCAACGCCGCGUGGGGGAUGAAGGUUUUAGGAUUGUAAACUCCUUUUGUUAGAGAAGAUUAUGACGGUAUCUAACGAAUAAGCACCGGCUAACUCCGUGCCAGCAGCCGCGGUAAUACGGAGGGUGCAAGCGUUACUCGGAAUCACUGGGCGUAAAGAGUGCGUAGGCGGGGUAAUAAGUCAGAUGUGAAAUCCUGUAGCUUAACUACAGAACUGCAUUUGAAACUGUUACUCUGGAGUGUGGGAGAGGUAGGUGGAAUUCUUGGUGUAGGGGUAAAAUGCGUAGAGAUCAAGAGGAAUACGCAUUGCGAAGGCGACCUGCUGGAACAUUACUGACGCUGAUGCACGAAAGCGUGGGGAGCAAACAGGAUUAGAUACCCGAGUAGUC
rnacentral:rRNA from 1 species